UCCGUACGAUCAGCUCCGUUUCCGGUUGAUCACAAGAACGGGAUUUACCUCGUCUUGACUUCCGUCGACGUCACCGUUGAGGAUUUCUGUCGGGCCGUUUGUGGGUUCCACUACUUCACAUUCCCAUCGAAAGUAGGCUACACUUUACCUUACGCAUGGGUGGGGAACUCCGGCAAACAAUGCCCGGAGGUUUGUGCUUACCCGUUUGCCGUUCCGGCGUAUAUGCAGGGCGGCGGCCCGGGUGCAUUGUCUCCACCCAAUGGCGACGUCGGAGUUGACGGGAUGAUCAGUGUGAUCGGACACGAGCUGGCGGAGCUGUCGUCGAAUCCGUUGGUGAAUGCUUGGUACGCCGGGGAAGAUCCGACGGCGCCGACAGAGAUCGGUGAUUUGUGUGAGGGGUUAU
rnacentral:lncRNA from 1 species